rnacentral:rRNA from 1 species
AUUGAACGCUGGCGGCAGGCCUAACACAUGCAAGUCGAGCGGAUGACGGGAGCUUGCUCCUUGAUUCAGCGGCGGACGGGUGAGUAAUGCCUAGGAAUCUGCCUGGUAGUGGGGGACAACGUUUCGAAAGGAACGCUAAUACCGCAUACGUCCUACGGGAGGAAGCAGGGGACCUUCGGGCCUUGCGCUAUCAGAUGAGCCUAGGUCGGAUUAGCUAGUUGGUGGGGCUAUGGCUCACCAAGGCGACGAUCCGUAACUGGUCUGAGAGGAUGAUCAGUCACACUGGAACUGAGACACGGUCCAGACUCCUACGGGAGGCAGCAGUGGGGAAUAUUGGACAAUGGGCGAAAGCCUGAUCCAGCCAUGCCGCGUGUGUGAAGAAGGUCUUCGGAUUGUAAAGCACUUUAAGUUGGGAGGAAGGGCAGUAAGCUAAUACCUUGCUGUUUUGACGUUACCGACAGAAUAAGCACCGGCUAACUCUGUGCCAGCCGCCGCGGUAA